UUAAAGAAGACUCUUAAUCACCCUAAACUUUAUUAAAAAUAUCAACAUAAAGUAAACUUCAUAACAAUUACUUCCUCUUCUCUCUCUCCCUCUCCCCAAUCUUUCUUAGCAGCUGUGUCUCCUCCCUCCUCUCCUCCCCCAUCCUCUUCUCUCUCACCCACUGGGGCAACCCCAAGAGAUGCCGAUGAAAGAGCCCACCUCGGAUACGGAAGGAAGGUAUGGAGAUUGUGCUGCUAGAACCAAGGUGCGAAGCACCGAACCAAAGCCGAAUAACUCCCUCCCCCCAAUCUUUCUUAGCCAGCCGUCUCUCCUCCCUCCUCUCCUCCCCCAUCCUCUUCUCUCUCACCCUCCACCGCCUCAACUCUCCCCCACACCCACAAGAUUGUCCUCAUCGCCAACCACGUUAUGCUCCCCCUCUUAUUAUGCGAAGUAGAUCAGCACAACCCGCAAGGGCUGCAAAUCAGUUAUUCGCCACCAACGGCAACCCAUUCCACCAUCUCAGUCUUCGAAGCCCAUCCGGGCACAAAAUCAUCCAGAACCUUGAAGGGGUAGGUAGGAGAUACGGGGGUAGUUUGGGUAUAAAGGUUGGAUUCCUGAAGAGUCUUCUCCCCGGAAUCCAAAUACCACCUCUAUCUGGGGGAUCCAAUUCCGGAAGAUUAAGGAAAUCGAUUCCGGAUUUUAAGUGAGUCCCACUUACUUUUUCAUUCCCUAAAGAGCAUCUUGAUGAUGACCUCGGGUUUCUUGCUUGCUACCAGAUCGUUCCUGGUGUCAUCUUGUCCUAGAUUUGAUUUGGAGCAUGAGACUAGAGAAGAGGAAGAAAGGAGCAUGAUUCGCGAAAGUGAGUACGUUGAAUUUACCUCCUCCGCAGCACAAAGUUUACCCGAACAACUUGUUUGAGGAUAAGGAGGUCCCUCAGGAAGCAACAACAUGAAAAAUUAAAGCUUGAGGAAUGGGAGAGCCGGAGGACUCGGAAUCAGAUUUACCCUUUGUUGUUACAUAAGGAGUGGCUUAGGCAAUCAUUCAAGGAUUUACCUCCCCCGCUGAGCGAUGGUUAUCCAAAGAACCUAGGAACAAACCUCAAUGGCUGGUAUGCUUUUGCAUUUGGUUUGUUGUUGUACUUUGAGAUAUUAGAUCCCUGUAGUUUUUCGUAAACAUGAAAUAAUAUAAAUGGCAUUCACAUGCACACAGUUAUCAUAUAAACACAUACCAAUGUUAGCAAGAGAUACUAGCUUAGGCGCUCAAUCUGUCACUGUUUUUUCGUCAAACCACAUAUCCACCAUUUUAAUUUGCUUGUACUUGUGCAUUUUCAAGGCUGUUUUUUUCCAUCCAAUUAUGAAAUUGCCAUUGAAAGUUCAUAUUUCCUGCGAUGUCACAAUCAAACAUUUCAUCCUCACUUACAAGUUCUUGCAUGAGUUUGGAAGUUUUACUUUCUAAAAGUCUUUUUAUUUAUUUAUUUAUUUAUUUUAUAUGUUGUAUGUUGUGAUUCUCCUUAUGAUUCUACAAAUUUCCCUUGAACUGCUGUCAUGAGGAAGAGAUGAAAGAAAGAAUGCUUAAAGUAGCUUUGAGACCCCAGGUAGGCCAAGCAUAUUUGAAGAAAGUGACUGAAUUUGUGAUGACGGAAUCCAAAAACAGAGAGGCAGAAGUGGUUUUGGAAGGUCUUUUGGAUGCAAUGGAUUGGUAUUCUGACAAUCAACAAGAGACUGCCAGAUCAGCCCUUCAUGUGGUAAUGCAGAACUUAAUGUUGCAUAAGAAGCUUGAGAAAUGGGGAGAGCUAGAAGACUUCGAGUCCUUAUAGGAUUCGGAAUCAGAUUGACCGCCUUGAUGUUGCAUAAGAAGUGGCUUAGGCAAUCAUUCAAGGAUUUACCUCCCCCGCUGAGGCAAGAGUUGGUGAAUCGGGAGGAGGAGCUGAAAGGAAGACAAAUGUUAAAGCUCAAAGAAGUGACAUCUCCUUUAACAACCUAGAUGACUGAGAAGACAAAUGUGUCUGAAGUUAUAGACACUAUGAAACAGCUUGUUAAGAACGCUAAAUUAGCUGAUGUUGAAGUUGUGGGAAAUAGUAUUAGAGCAGGCGCAGAAAGCCAGCGAAGUUAUUCGCCAAGUAUACGAUUUCAACUUAUUAGUUUGUCUUCAUUCUUAUGCCUUAAUAUUUCUAAGUUUGGUCCUUGUACUUUGAGAUAUUGGAUCCCUAUAGUUUUCCGUAAACAUUAAAAAAUAUAAAUGUCAUUCACAUGCACACAGUGAUCAUAUAAACACAAACCAAUGCUAGCAAGACUUUGAGAAAGUAAAACUUCCAAACUCCUAUGCAAGAACUUUUCAAUAAGGAUGAAAUGUUUGAUUGUGACAUCGCAUGAAAUAUGAACUUUCAGUGGCAAUUUCAUAAUUGGAUGGAAAAACGUACAAGCAAAUUAAAAUGGUGGACAUGUGGUUUGACAAACAUCCAGUGACAGAUUAAGGGUCUGAGCUAGUAGCAUUGGUUUGUGUUUAUAUGAUCACUGUGUGCAUGUGAAUGCCUUUUAUAUUUUUUAAUGUUUACUGAAAACUAUAGGGAUCUAAUAUCCCAAAGUACAAGGACCAAACUUGGAAAUACUAAGGUAUAAGAAUGAAGACAAACUAAUAAGUUGAAAAACUUGGCGAGUAACUUCGCUGGCUUUCCGCGCCUGCUCUAAUACUAUUUCCCAUAACUUCAACAUCAGCUAAUUUGACAUUCUUAAUAAGCUGUUUCAUAGUGUCUAUAACUUCAGACACAUUUGUCUUCUCAGUCAUCUAGGUUGUUAAAGGAGAUGUCACUUUCUUGAGCUUUAACAUUUGUCUUCCUUUCAGCUCCUCCUCCCGAUUCAUCAACGCUUGCCUCAGUGGGGGAGGUAAAUCCUUGAAUGAUUGACUAAGCCACUUCUUAUGCAACAUCAAGAGGGUCAAUCUGAUUCCGAAUCCUACAAGGACUCGGAGUCUUCCAGCUCUCCCCAUUUCUCAAGCUUCCUCAAGAACAACUUGUUUUUUCUUGUCAAUUUGUAUGCAUAGAAAGCGGCCAGCAAAAUAAGAAUCAGAGAUGAGAGCCAACCACCGCUUGCACACACGCUUAUUUCGACGAGCGUAUUUGUAAGGAAGUCGGCAAAGGAUUUCAACCAAUACGCCAUCAGGCAGAUUAUUGAUGAGGAAUUUUGAUGACAACUGCUCAUCAGAUUCAGAAGAUCCCAUGGCCGCAGCCGCAAGAAUUGACGACCAACUGCAAUUCUAAUAUGCAACCCAACACUGAAUCUCUCCUACUUACAUGCAGCGAAUCCGAAACCUAAUAGAAAUAGGAAAUCUAUAAAAGUUCUAAUAAGAAUCCAACAGUGAAUAUGUCCUACUUAUUUAUAUCCGUUUUAGUAAUUUUCAUUAAAUCUGACCAAAA